rnacentral:rRNA from 1 species
AGGUAAGCUACUAAGAGCGAAUGGUGGAUGCCUUGACUGGUAAAGGCGAUGAAGGACGUACUAGACUGCGAUAAGCUACGGGGAGCUGUCAAGAAGCUUUGAUCCGUAGAUUUCCGAAUGGGGCAACCCAAUGUAUAGAGAUAUACAUUACCUAUAUAGGAGCGAACGAGGGGAAUUGAAACAUCUUAGUACCCUCAGGAAAAGAAAUCAAUAGAGAUUGCGUCAGUAGCGGCGAGCGAAAGCGCAAGAGGGCAAACCCAGUGCUUGCACUGGGGGUUGUAGGACUGCAAUGUGCAAGAGGUGAGUUUAGCAGAACAUUCUGGAAAGUAUAGCCAUAGAGGGUGAUAGUCCCGUAUGCGAAAAACAAACCUUAGCUAGCAGUAUCCUGAGUAGGGCGGGACACGAGAAAUCCUGUCUGAAGCUGGGUCGACCACGAUCCAACCCUAAAUACUAAUACCAGAUCGAUAGUGCACAAGUACCGUGAGGGAAAGGUGAAAAGAACUGAGGUGAUCAGAGUGAAAUAGAACCUGAAACCAUUUGCUUACAAUCAUUCAGAGCACUAUGUAGCAAUACAGUGUGAUGGACUGCCUUUUGCAUAAUGAGCCUGCGAGUUGUGGUGUCUGGCAAGGUUAAGCAAACGCGAAGCCGUAGCGAAAGCGAGUCUGAAUAGGGCGCUUAGUCAGAUGCUGCAGACCCGAAACGAAGUGAUCUAUCCAUGAGCAAGUUGAAGCUAGUGUAAGAACUAGUGGAGGACUGAACCCAUAGGCGUUGAAAAGCCCCGGGAUGACUUGUGGAUAGGGGUGAAAGGCCAAUCAAACUUCGUGAUAGCUGGUUCUCUCCGAAAUAUAUUUAGGUAUAGCGUUGUGUCGUAAUAUAAGGGGGUAGAGCACUGAAUGGGCUAGGGCAUACACCAAUGUACCAAACCCUAUCAAACUCCGAAUACCUUAUAUGUAAUCACAGCAGUCAGGCGGCGAGUGAUAAAAUCCGUCGUCAAGAGGGAAACAACCCAGACUACCAGCUAAGGUCCCUAAAUCUUACUUAAGUGGAAAACGAUGUGAAGUUACUUAAACAACCAGGAGGUUGGCUUAGAAGCAGCCAUCCUUUAAAGAAAGCGUAAUAGCUCACUGGUCUAGUGAUUUUGCGCGGAAAAUAUAACGGGGCUAAAGUAAGUACCGAAGCUGUAGACUUGACUUUGUCAAGUGGUAGGAGAGCGUUCUAUUUGCGUCGAAGGUAUACCGGUAAGGAGUGCUGGAGCGAAUAGAAGUGAGCAUGCAGGCAUGAGUAGCGAUAAUUAAUGUGAGAAUCAUUAACGCCGUAAACCCAAGGUUUCCUACGCGAUGCUCGUCAUCGUAGGGUUAGUCGGGUCCUAAGUCGAGUCCGAAAGGGGUAGACGAUGGCAAAUUGGUUAAUAUUCCAAUACCAACAUUAGUGUGCGAUGGAAGGACGCUUAGGGCUAAGGGGGCUAGCGGAUGGAAGUGCUAGUCUAAGGUCGUAGGUGCUUAUACAGGCAAAUCCGUAUAAGAAUACACCGAGAACUGAAAGGCUUUUUGAAGUCUUCGGAUGGAUAGAAGAACCCCUGAUGCCGUCGAGCCAAGAAAAGUUUCUAAGUUUAGCUAAUGUUGCCCGUACCGUAAACCGACACAGGUGGGUGGGAUGAGUAUUCUAAGGCGCGUGGAAGAACUCUCUUUAAGGAACUCUGCAAAAUAGCACCGUAUCUUCGGUAUAAGGUGUGGUUCGCUUCGUAUUAGGAUUUACUCCGAAAGCGAAGAAACUUACAACAAAGAGUCCCUCCCGACUGUUUACCAAAAACACAGCACUCUGCUAACUCGUAAGAGGAUGUAUAGGGUGUGACGCCUGCCCGGUGCUCGAAGGUUAAUUGAUGGGGUUAGCAUUAGCGAAGCUCUUGAUCGAAGCCCGAGUAAACGGCGGCCGUAACUAUAACGGUCCUAAGGUAGCGAAAUUCCUUGUCGGUUAAAUACCGACCUGCAUGAAUGGCGUAACGAGAUGGGAGCUGUCUCAAAGAGGGAUCCAGUGAAAUUGUAGUGGAGGUGAAAAUUCCUCCUACCCGCGGCAAGACGGAAAGACCCCGUGGACCUUUACUACAGCUUGACACUGCUACUUGGAUAAGAAUGUGCAGGAUAGGUGGGAGGCUUUGAGUAUAUGACGCCAGUUGUAUAUGAGCCAUUGUUGAGAUACCACUCUUUCUUAUUUGGGUAGCUAACCAGCUUGAGUUAUCCUCAAGUGGGACAAUGUCUGGUGGGUAGUUUGACUGGGGCGGUCGCCUCCCAAAUAAUAACGGAGGCUUACAAAGGUUGGCUCAGAACGGUUGGAAAUCGUUCGUAGAGUAUAAAGGUAUAAGCCAGCUUAACUGCAAGACAUACAAGUCAAGCAGAGACGAAAGUCGGUCUUAGUGAUCCGGUGGUUCUGUGUGGAAGGGCCAUCGCUCAAAGGAUAAAAGGUACCCCGGGGAUAACAGGCUGAUCUCCCCCAAGAGCUCACAUCGACGGGGAGGUUUGGCACCUCGAUGUCGGCUCAUCGCAUCCUGGGGCUGGAGCAGGUCCCAAGGGUAUGGCUGUUCGCCAUUUAAAGCGGUACGCGAGCUGGGUUCAGAACGUCGUGAGACAGUUCGGUCCCUAUCUGCCGUGGGCGUAAGAAGAUUGAAGAGAUUUGACCCUAGUACGAGAGGACCGGGUUGAACAAACCACUGGUGUAGCUGUUGUUCUGCCAAGAGCAUCGCAGCGUAGCUAAGUUUGGAAAGGAUAAACGCUGAAAGCAUCUAAGCGUGAAGCCAACUCUAAGAUGAAUCUUCUCUAAGCUCUCUAGAAGACUACUAGUUUGAUAGGCUGGGUGUGUAAUGGAUGAAAGUCCUUUAGCUGACCAGUACUAAUAGAGCGUUUGGCUUAUCUUU